rnacentral:rRNA from 1 species
GGCCUUGACAUACUAAGAACUUUCCAGAGAUGGAUUGGUGCUUUCGGGAACUUAGAUACAGGUGCUGCAUGGCUGUCGUCAGCUCGUGUCGUGAGAUGUUGGGUUAAGUCCCGNAACGAGCGCAACCCUUUUCCUUAUUUGCCAGCGGGUCAUGCCGGGAACUUUAAGGAUACUGCCAGUGACAAACUGGAGGAAGGCGGGGACGACGUCAAGUCAUCAUGGCCCUUACGGCCAGGGCUACACACGUGCUACAAUGGUCGGUACAAAGGGUUGCUACCUCGCGAGAGGAUGCUAAUCUCAAAAAGCCGAUCGUAGUCCGGAUCGCAGUCUGCAACUCGACUGCGUGAAGUCGGAAUCGCUAGUAAUCGCGGAUCAGAAUGCCGCGGUGAAUACGUUCCCGGGCCUUGUACACACCGCCCGUCACACCAUGGGAGUUUGUUGCACCAGAAGUAGGUAGUCUAACCGCAAGGAGGACGCUUACCACGGUGUGGCCGAUGACUGGGGUGAAGUCGUAACAAGGUAAGCGUAGAUGA